rnacentral:rRNA from 1 species
UGCAAGUCGAACGAACUUCCGUUAAUUGAUUAUGACGUACUUGUACUGAUUGAGAUUUUAACACGAAGUGAGUGGCGAACGGGUGAGUAACACGUGGGUAACCUGCCCAGAAGUAGGGGAUAACACCUGGAAACAGAUGCUAAUACCGUAUAACAGAGAAAACCGCAUGGUUUUCUUUUAAAAGAUGGCUCUGCUAUCACUUCUGGAUGGACCCGCGGCGUAUUAGCUAGUUGGUGAGGUAAAGGCUCACCAAGGCAGUGAUACGUAGCCGACCUGAGAGGGUAAUCGGCCACAUUGGGACUGAGACACGGCCCAGACUCCUACGGGAGGCAGCAGUAGGGAAUCUUCCACAAUGGACGCAAGUCUGAUGGAGCAACGCCGCGUGAGUGAAGAAGGGUUUCGGCUCGUAAAGCUCUGUUGUUAAAGAAGAACGUGGGUAAGAGUAACUGUUUACCCAGUGACGGUAUUUAACCAGAAAGCCACGGCUAACUACGUGCCAGCAGCCGCGGUAAUACGUAGGUGGCAAGCGUUAUCCGGAUUUAUUGGGCGUAAAGCGAGCGCAGGCGGUCUUUUAAGUCUAAUGUGAAAGCCUUCGGCUCAACCGAAGAAGUGCAUUGGAAACUGGGAGACUUGAGUGCAGAAGAGGACAGUGGAACUCCAUGUGUAGCGGUGAAAUGCGUAGAUAUAUGGAAGAACACCAGUGGCGAAGGCGGCUGUCUGGUCUGCAACUGACGCUGAGGCUCGAAAGCAUGGGUAGCGAACAGGAUUAGAUACCCUGGUAGUCCAUGCCGUAAACGAUGAUUACUAAGUGUUGGAGGGUUUCCGCCCUUCAGUGCUGCAGCUAAACGCAUUAAGGUAAUCCGCCUGGGGAGUACGACCGCCAGGUUGAAACUCAAAAGAAUUGACGGGGGCCCGCACAAGCGUUGGAGCAUGUGGUUUAAUUCGAAGCUACGCGAAGAACUUACCAGGUCUUGACAUCUUCUGACAGUCUAAGAAUUUAGAGGUUCCCUUCGGGACCGAAUGAAAGUGGUGCAUGCUUUCGUCAGCUCUGGUCGGGGAAUUUGGGUUAAAUCCCCAACGAGCCAACCCCUUAUACUAGUUGCAAGCUUUAAAUUGGGCCCUUAAGUAGACUGCGGGUCCAAAACGGGGG